rnacentral:piRNA from 1 species
UGGAAUGAGACUGAAUGUUGCUCUUCAUCC